AUUGAACGCUGGCGGCAGGCCUAACACAUGCAAGUCGAACGAGUGGCGGACGGGUGAGUAAUGUCUGGGAAACUGCCUGAUGGAGGGGGAUAACUACUGGAAACGGUAGCUAAUACCGCAUACCAUCAGAUGUGCCCAGAUGGGAUGAGCUAGUUGGUGGGGUAACGGCGAAACAAGGCGACGAUCCCUAGCUGGUCUGAGAGGAUGACCAGCCACACUGGAACUUGUACACGGUCCAGACUCCUACGGGAGGCAGCAGUGGGGAAUAGUGCACAAUGGGCGAAAGCCUGAUGCAGCCAUGCCGCGUGUAUGAAGAAGGCCUUCGGGUUGUAAAGUACUUUCGUCGGGGAGGCGUUACCCACAGAAGAAGCACCGGCUAACUCCGUGCCAGCAGCCGCGGUAAUUC
rnacentral:rRNA from 1 species